GACGAACCGUGCGAACGUUGUUCGGAAUCACUGGGUUUAAAAGGGCGCGUAGGCGGGCUGUCAAGUCGGUGGUGAAAUCUUUCGGCUCAACCGGAAAAUUGCCUUCGAUACUGGCGGCCUGGAGGGAGGUAGGGGCAUGCGGAACUUCCGGUGGAGCGGUGAAAUGCGUAGAUAUCGAGAGGAACACCAGUGGCGAAGGCGAGUCCCUGGACAACACCUGACACUGAGGCACGAAAGCUAGGGGAGCAAACAGG
rnacentral:rRNA from 1 species